rnacentral:rRNA from 1 species
GACGUAGGGCGCGAGCGUUGUCCGGAUUUAUUGGGCGUAAAGAGCUCGUAGGCGGCUUGUCGCGUCAACUGUGAAAACCCGUGGCUCAACCAUGUGGUCUGCAGUCGAUACGGGCAGGCUAGAAUUCGGUAGGGGAGACUGGAAUUCCUGGUGUAGCGGUGAAAUGCGCAGAUAUCAGGAGGAACACCGGUGGCGAAGGCGGGUCUCUGGGCCGAUAUUGACGCUGAGGAGCGAAAGCGCGGGGAGCGAACAGG